UUGUAUUUUACUUGGUCUAUAAUCUAUAUAUAAUAUUUUGAAACACAUCUAAAACUCAGCUCAUAAUUAUUACAAACCGUUGAUAUUAAGUAACAUUCUUCAUUUCCAUUUCUUUCAGUAGAGCUAUCCUUGUAUUUGUCCUACCUAUCAAGAUGAAUGAAAUACAGUACUAAAUUCUCCUUUAAAUUGACCCAGGAAUAACAGCAAUAAGAUGAAAAAUGAUGAUGAUAAUAAUAUUUCUGGUUUGCACCACACUGUAAUCAGGAGAGAUCUCCUUGACCAGUAUGUCUAGUAAAUCAAUUUUAUCAAAUUCAGUGUCUACCUGAGUUGCAUUUGUUUUGUGCUUGGAUUAUAGAAGUAAAACAAAGUCACCAUCCCUGCUUUACUGAACUUGGUGACUACCUUGGUUUCACCAACAGUGAGAGUAAGCUUGAUGCUGAAAUGCAGGAUGCAGAAUAUGAAAAUCAAGCCAAAAGUGAGAAUAAUUCCAGCCAACAGGGAAAGCAGAAAAGACAGGAAAGUGUUUAGGAUACUCAUGGUUGUAAGUGUCUUGAUGGAGCAGAAGCAGAAUGAUGUACUUCAGAGAGCACUACAUCUCAGUGUUGGCAUUCUGGUGACCUGUCCUUAAGCCACAGGCCGCAUCUUCUGUCUAAGUGUAUUGGAAGUUCUGCCACAUCACGAUCGGUGGCAUAGGGACAACAUAGAAACCUCCUGCAUACCUGAUAUGCCUGUGCAGUUCCCAGCCAUUACAGGACAUCUUUCAGAAUGAAGAUGAUGAAGGUCUAGUGGUAUGAUGACCAGAGAUGGGGAGAGUAACAGCUGGAAAGACAAAGACAAAACUCACCGUAUUCAUAUCAACUGUUCCUGUAACACCACCAUCAACUGAAGGAUUAGAAGAGGGAAAUGCCCUUGAAAAGGGGAACUGUGAAGAGACUAUUCCUGGAAAGCUGUAUCUGGGCAGUGAAAAGGAGCAAGUAGGCAUUAUCAGCUUCCAUCACCCAGUGAAGUUGUCUCCAGGCAAUGAUCAAAGGAAAUUGUGCAGCUGCCUUUUAAGUCUAUUACACAACAAGAAUUCCAGGAUUUUGAUUUCAUUUCAGAGAUUACCUAUUUUAACACGCAUUUCUCACAUGGGAAAGAUGCAUUCAGGAACCCUACUAGCUUUGAAGAAACUGUUGCUGAGAGCUCUCUGAUGUCAACAGCGGGGCCAUGUUUUGAGUCAUCUGGCAACAUGGCUUUACAACUGCAAUUGCUGGAACAACUGAAGCAGAAGCAAAAGACCACCAAAGGACAUACUGAUCUUUUGUUGACUUAAACCACUUGGGUAACAAGUCCCUGGUGUGAACCGGCACAGGUGUUUUCUCAGCCUAAAAAAUAUUCUACCUUUCUCAUUGAGUCACUCUCCCCUAUGGCACAUUCAUUGUGGAAAUUCACUUUUUUUUUUUUUUCAGGAGUGGAAGCACAACAGUUCUUUCUAAUUCCUUGUUUCAUAUUCUAAACUCUAGUCUAGCUGAGAAAUUCUACUUUAGUUGCUAUUCUCUCUAUUAUAAUCACCACAAAUUACAAUUUUAUUUCACAAACAUAAAAUAAUGUCUUUAAUGUAUAACUAAGCUGAGAACUGCAGUAAAUUAAAAAAAAAGUUAUGAAAGCAAUGAUUUUAAAAAUGCAAAUUAGAUGUAUUAGCAUUAAUCCUCAGUUAUAUGGAAACAGUAAACUGAAAUGAUGACUGAUAUAAUUAAAUAAAAUAUAUCUUACAUCAUGUAGAUGGCUAUUU
rnacentral:lncRNA from 1 species